GGAUUAGAUACCCUGGUAGUCCACGCCGUAAACGAUGCAUACUAGGUGUUGGCCCUUUUGGGUCAGUGCUGCAGUUAACGCAUUAAGUAUGCCACCUGGGGAGUACGUCGGCAACGAUGAAACUCAAAGGAAUUGACGGGGGCCCGCACAAGCGGUGGAGCAUGUGGCUUAAUUCGAUGCAACGCGAGGAACCUUACCUGGGCUAAAUUUGCCGUGCUAUCUCUGGAAACAGGGAGUCCCUUCGGGGCGCGGUAGAAGGUGCUGCAUGGCUGUCGUCAGCUCGUGCUG
rnacentral:rRNA from 1 species